AUGAGCACACACUGGGAGAGGUCAUACAUCGUAUCAUCCUAUGGAGAAAGGAUUGCAUCAUCUUUCGAAGGCCACCGACACCGCGUCAGCAGACUCCUCCUCGAAGUCCGCCACCGAGUCAGCAGACUCCCGCUCCUCCAAGUCCACGAACGCGUCAGCCGACUCCUCCUCGAAGUCCGCCACCAUGUCAGCAGACUCCCGCUCCUUCAAGUCCACGAACGCGUGAGCCGACUCCUCCUUGAAGUCCGCCACCGUGUCAGCAAACUCCCGCUCCUCCAAGUCCACAAACGCGUGAGCCGACUCCUCCUCGAAGUCCGCCACCGUGUCAGCAGAUUCCCGCUCCUCCAAGUCCACGAACGCGUGAGCCGACUCCUCCUCGAAGUCCGCCACCGUGUCAGCAGACUCCCGCUCCUCCAAGUCCACCAGUGCGUGAGCAAAUUCCUGCUCCAACUCAGCCACGUCAGCCGUCUCCGCCGCCUCAACAAUCGUAGAAGAGACACCCCGCAGCUAUGGUGCGUAGCGGUACGAGUCGAGGUAGUACAAGAGGUACAGGCGGAGAUAAGCGAUAUAAAUAUGGUCCAAGCCUCGCUCCUCUUCCUCAGAGGCCUUACGACAUGA
rnacentral:rRNA from 1 species